rnacentral:rRNA from 1 species
CGCGUAGGUGGUUUUUUAAGUCAGAUGUGAAAUCCCUAGGCUCAACCUAGGAACUGCAUUUGAAACUGAAAAACUAGAGUCUCGUAGAGGGAGGUAGAAUUCUAGGUGUAGCGGUGAAAUGCGUAGAUAUCUGGAGGAAUACCUGUGGCGAAAGCGGCCUCCUAAACGAAUACUGACACUGAGGUGCGAAAGCGUGGGGAGCAAACA